AACUUAGUCCUUAUAGUAAUAUCCCAGUGCGACUUCCUUUCACAUUAGAAGUGACAUCCACUUAAAGGGUCAAGGCAGGAGAAAUAUCCUUGCCAACCGACAUACUGAAUUCUACCAAAAAGUCCGCCAAUACCUAUGAUUUGGUGCAACCUCUGGGUAUGUAUUGGAUGUCGUAUUCUUGAGGACAUGACGUACAGGGUAAUAUGUUUUUUU
rnacentral:lncRNA from 1 species